rnacentral:rRNA from 1 species
UCCAGAGGGUGCGAGCGUUGUUCGGAAUUAUUGGGCGUAAAGGGCGCGUAGGCGGUGCGGUAAGUCACCUGUGAAAUCUCCUGGCUCAACUGGGAGCUUGCAGGCGAAACUGCCGUGCUGGAGUGUGGGAGAGGUGAGUGGAAUUCCCGGUGUAGCGGUGAAAUGCGUAGAUAUCAAGCGGAACACCAGUGGCGAAGGCGAGUCCCUGGACAACUCCUGACACUGAGGCACGAAAGCUAGGGGAGCAAACAGG